rnacentral:rRNA from 1 species
CCAGGCUUGAACAGCGAGUGACAAACUACGAAAGUGGUCUUCCGCAAGGACACUCGUAGAGGUGCUGCAUGGCUGUCGUCAGCUCGUGUCGUGAGAUGUUGGGUUAAGUCCCGCAACGAGCGCAACCCUUGUUUGCUGUUGCCAUCAGGUUAAGCUGGGCACUCUGCAAAGACUGCCGGUGAUAAACCGGAGGAAGGUGGGGAUGACGUCAAGUCAGCAUGGCCUUUAUGUCUGGGGCUACACACGUGCUACAAUGGCCGAUACAAACCGUCGCGAGCCCGCAAGGGGGAGCUAAUCGGAGAAAGUCGGUCUCAGUUCGGAUAGCAGGCUGCAACCCGCCUGCUUGAAGUUGGAAUCGCUAGUAAUCGCGGAUCAGCACGCCGCGGUGAAUACGUUCCC